AUUGAACGCUGGCGGCAGGCUUAACACAUGCAAGUCGAUCGGUAACGCGGGGGCAACCCUGGCGACGAGAGGCGGACGGGUGAGGAACGCUUGGGAAUCUGCCUAUCAGCGGGGGACAACACGGGGAAACUCGUGCUAAUACCGCAUACGCUCUACGGAGGAAAGCCGGGGACCGCAAGGCCUGGCACUGAUAGAUGAGCCCAAGCCGGAUUAGCUAGUUGGCGGGGUAACGGCCCACCAAGGCGACGAUCCGUAGCUGGUCUGAGAGGACGAUCAGCCACACUGGAACUGAGACACGGUCCAGACUCCUACGGGAGGCAGCAGUGGGGAAUAUUGGACAAUGGGGGAAACCCUGAUCCAGCGACGCCGCGUGGGUGAAGAAGGCCUGCGGGUUGUAAAGCCCUUUCGGUAGGGACGAAAGCUCUCGACCUAACACGUCGGGAGGUUGACUUAACCUACAAAAGAAGCACCGGCUAACUCUGUGCCAGCAGCCGCAGUAAUAC
rnacentral:rRNA from 1 species